GAUGAACGCUAGCGGGAGGCCUAACACAUGCAAGCCGAGCGGUAUUGUUUCUUCGGAAAUAAGAGAGCGGCGUACGGGUGCGUAACACGUGUGCAACCUGCCUUUAUCUGGGGGAUAGCCUUUCGAAAGGAAGAUUAAUACUCCAUAAUAUAUUGAACGGCAUCGUUUAAUAUUGAAAGCUCCGGCGGAUAGAGAUGGGCACGCGCAAGACUAGCUAGUUGGUGAGGCAACGGCUCACCAAGGCGAUGAUCUUUAGGGGGCCUGAGAGGGUGAUCCCCCACACUGGUACUGAGACACGGACCAGACUCCUACGGGAGGCAGCAGUGAGGAAUAUUGGUCAAUGGGUGCAAGCCUGAACCAGCCAUCCCGCGUGAAGGACGACUGCCCUAUGGGUUGUAAACUUCUUUUGUAUAGGGAUAAACCUACCCUCGUGAGGGUAGCUGAAGGUACUAUACGAAUAAGCACCGGCUAACUCCGUGCCAGCCGCCGCAGUAA
rnacentral:rRNA from 1 species